CAUUGAAUGGCUGAAGUUUAAAAGCAUUGGUCUCUUAAACCAUACUAUAGUAUUUAAUACUUUCAAUGA
rnacentral:tRNA from 1 species